CCGGCUCGGCGGCGGAGGGUGGGCCGCCGUCACCUGACCGCCCGCCCCCGCCCCCCGCGAGUAAGGGGCGGUGGUAGCGUCUGCUCGGUUACAAAUGGCCCCUCCCGCCCCGCUCGCCCGCUCGCUCGGGCUCGGCGCGGACCCGCCCGGGCGCACUCCUCCCAGUGGCUCUCGGCGUCCCGGCGUCCCGCCGCCCUGCCCGGAGCCGGCCGCGGUCCCCUCUACCCCUGAGGGCACUCCCGGCAUCCAGCACAGAGGCUCGCCCGGGGAGGUCGCGACGGGAGGCUGGCCCGCGGUGGCCCGCGGCUCGCCUACCCGCAGGUGUUCCUUUGAUACAGUGGAUGGUGACUCUGCUGUUCUGCCUGGGAGUGGUUCAAAAUUUACCCAGGGUAUCUCUGUGGGAAUCCCCAACCCCUCCAGACCUCCAGCCACAUUGCCUUCUACUUGA
rnacentral:lncRNA from 9 species